GUGCCAGCCGCCGCGGUAAUACGUAGGAUGCAAGCGUUGUCCGGAAUUAUUGGGCGUAAAGAGCGCGCAGGCGGUUUUACAAGUCAGAUGUGAAAGAGGCCGGCUUAACCGGCAAGGGUCAUUUGAAACUGUAAGACUAGAGUGCAGCAGAGGAUAGCGGAAUUCCCGGUGUAGUGGUGAAAUGCGUAGAUAUCGGGAGGAACACCAGUGGCGAAGGCGGCUAUCUGGGCUGUAACUGACGCUGAGGCGCGAAGGCUAGGGUAGCAAACAGGAUUAGAAACCCUCGUAGUCC
rnacentral:rRNA from 1 species